GAAGAACGCUGGCGGCGUGCUUAACACAUGCAAGUCGAACGAAGUGGCGAACGGGUGAGUAAUACGUGGGUAACCUGCCCUCCUUUUUGGGAUAAGCCUUGGAAACGGGGUCUAAUACCGAAUAAAGGGGGAUGGGCUCGCGGCCUAUCAGCUUGUUGGUGGGGUGAUGGCCUACCAAGGCGGUGACGGGUAGCCGGCCUGAGAGGGUGACCGGCCACAUUGGGACUGAGAUACGGCCCAGACUCCUACGGGAGGGAGCAGUGGGUGUUAGUGCCCAAUGGGUGAAUGCCUGCUGAAGCGACGCCGCGUGGGGGAGGAUGGCUUUCGGGUUGUAACCCUUUGUCGCUAUCGAACGGGUAGGUGCAGAAGAAGCUCCGGCUAAAUCUGUGCCAGCAGCCGCGGUAAUAC
rnacentral:rRNA from 1 species